GAGUUUGAUCAUGGCUCAGGAUGAACGCUGGCGGCGUGCCUAACACAUGCAAGUCGAACGAACCUAAUCGUCGGAAAAGAUUAGUGGCGCACGGGUGAGUAACACGUAGGUGACCUGCCCUGGAGUGGGGGAUAACUUCUGAAACGAGAACUAAUACCGCGAAAUGCUCGGCCAUUCAGUUGGUCGAGUAAAGCUCCGGCGCUCCAGGAGGGGCCUGCGUCCGAUUAGCUAGUUGGUGGGGUAAUGGCCUACCAAGGCGAUGAUCGGUAGCUGGUCUGAGAGGACGAUCAGCCACACUGGCACUGACACACGGGCCAGACUCCUACGGGAGGCAGCAGUGAGGAAUAUUGGUCAAUGGGCGAAAGCCUGAACCAGCAACGCCGCGUGAGGGAUGAAGGCCUUCGGGUCGUAAACCUCUUUUCUGGGAGAAGAGACAAGGACGGUAUCCCAGGAAUAAGUCUCGGCUAACUACGUGCCAGCAGCCGCGGUAAAACGUAGGAGGCAAGCGUUAUCCGGAUUUACUGGGCGUAAAGCGCACGCAGGCGGCUGCGUAAGUCGGACGUGAAAGCUCCUGGCUCAACUGGGAGAGGUCGUUCGAAACUGCGCGGCUUGAGGUUGGAAGAGGAGAGCGGAAUUCCCGGUGUAGUGGUGGAAUGCGUAGAUAUCGGGAGGAACACCAGUGGCGAAAGCGGCUCUCUGGCCCACACCUGACGCUCAGGUGCGAAAGCGUGGGUAGCGAACGGGAUUAGAUACCCCGGUAGUCCACGCUGUAAACGAUGCGAACUAGGUGUUGGUAGUAUUAAACCUAUCAGUGCCGAAGCUAACGCGAUAAGUUCGCCGCCUGGGGACUACGGCCGCAAGGCUAAAACUCAAAGGAAUUGACGGGGGCCCGCACAAGCAGCGGAGCGUGUGGUUUAAUUCGAUGCAACACGAAGAACCUUACCUGGGCUUGACAUGGUCGUAGUAGUGAACCGAAAGGGGAACGAGCCUUCGGGCAGCGAUCACAGGUGCUGCAUGGCUGUCGUCAGCUCGUGUCGUGAGAUGUUGGGUUAAGUCCCGCAACGAGCGCAACCCUCGCUACUAGUUACAAGUGUCUAGUGGGACUGCCGGAGUCAAACCGGAGGAAGGUGGGGAUGACGUCAAGUCAGCAUGGCCUUUAUGUCCAGGGCUACACACACGCUACAAUGGCCGGUACAAUGAGUUGCUAAACCGCGAGGUGGAGCUAAUCUCAUCAAAGUCGGUCUCAGUUCGGAUUGCAGGCUGCAACCCGCCUGCAUGAAGUCGGAGUUGCUAGUAACCGCAGGUCAGCUAUACUGCGGUGAAUACGUUCCCGGGCCUUGUACACACCGCCCGUCACGUCAUGGGAGUUGGUAACACCUGAAGCCGGUGAGCUAACCGUAAGGAGGCAGCUGUCGAAGGUGGGGCCGAUGACUGGGACGAAGUCGUAACAAGGUAGCUGUAGCGGAAGCUGCGGCUGGAUCACCUCCUUUCUA
rnacentral:rRNA from 1 species